rnacentral:lncRNA from 1 species
UGCAUUCGAUGUUGAGCCACACGACCAUAUCAUAGGUCAUGUGCCAAACAGUGUUACAUACUAACUUGAGACACAUUGCCGUGUCGUAGGCUGUGUCUCAGAUUGUAUGAAACCUGUACCUAAAAUAAUAAAGACACACGGCCGUGUGGCAGCAUAUGUCCCAGGCCAUGUGCUACAAAGUUUUCCCCUAAAACAAGUCGUUUUCAACCCAAUUGUUUAGGUACCAAGACAUAACAAAAACACAUGUUUACAAGCCUUCAAAACACAAUCAAAUAGACUCAAAACAUCCAAAAACAAUCAACUUAUGUGCCUAACCAAUGUGCCUUCAUUAACACCACAAUUCAAACAUCAAAAUAAUUCAAAACCAAUGCUAGGUUCUCAAGUCACACACAUAUAUCAACCAAUUAUACUUGACCACCUAAAUCAUCUUACAUUCAAGACAAACCUUACCAUUUCUCUAUUUGUGCGUUCGCAUUCAUUUAUACCAUAUCACCAUAGGACAUCAUUCGCUAUAAUAUAGAACAAUAUAACCAAAAUAUAUACUUAUGAGCCUUUACAAAACCUUAAAAGCAUACAUAUACAAGCACCAAAAAUCAAUCUAAGGCAACAUCUUUCAAGUAUAACAAGCACCACAAGUAACUUGUAUUCAAAAUAUUUACACAACACCUAUUACAUGACAAGUUCCGUACUAAAUUUAAAUUUCAUACCAAACCAUGAAUUAGCACAUUAUUAACUAAAGCAUAUAUUUAUCACACAAGUAUAGAAAAUACCACUUGUAGUAAGUACUUAAAACAUAUACGAGAUACUCCUAUUACAUGCCACAUAUACCAAAAUUAAUCAUUUUCAAAAUCUACCAAAAAGAAUCUAGAUAGUGUGAUAUUCGUGUUGAUCCAAUCGCUUAAUUCCGGAAAAAAAUUAUCUACAAUGAAACAGGAAAAUAACAUAAGUAAGCUUUAAUAUGCUUAGUAAGUUCACAGGUUAAAACGAUAAAACUUACCGAAUAAACAAAAAUAAUUAUUUUAUAACAAUGUCAAUAGACAUUAGUCUUGCCAACCACAAUCAGUCAAUGGUGAGUUAUACAAAUAUACAAGUUACAUAAUCCGUUCAAUCAUACGAAUUCAAUCAAUAUCAAUUUACGAUAUACUAUAAAAAAUCAAGCAAUUAUUUAUACAAUUCCAUACACAAGUCAUUUAACUAUUUUAAAUAUGCCCGAUGAACGAUAUAACAUAUAUAGGUACGCGAUUAACCACUGAAACACACCAAAACGCUCUAAUGAGCCUAACCAACUGAGAACAAGCCUUGGCACCAAGUGCCUAGCCUGUAGGCUAACUUCGCUCCCAAAACACACCUCAGCACCAAGUGUCAAGCUCGAAGGCUUUACAUCCGCUCCCAAUAACACGCCAGAACACUAUAAAUAUAACACAAUAGUCUGCAACAAAUGCUAGACUCCGGUAUAUUCAGUGAACAGGAAUAAAUCAAGAAUCAUCAUCUCAUCUCAAGUCAGACCCGUACAUCGUGUAAUAUAACCUAUUGGCAUGUCAAUUGUAUCCUAUCCUAUGUUCAUCCGGACUCGAUACACAUAACCAUAUAACAAUUUCCAAUUCAAUCCAUUUCUCACCAAUUCAAUCACAAUAUUUCAAAUAUGACCAAUAUCAUCAAAUUGUAUAAUUCAAAAUAAUAACAUACUAAAAGUACUCAAAACAAUAUCAUAUGAACUUGCCUAGACGAAAACGGUUGCAAAAACAAGGUCGGCGACUAAUCCAUUAAUUUAGUUUUUCCACGAUUAUCCUUCGUACGAAUCAAACCUUGAUCUAUAAUAAUUAAAUUCAAUCUUAUCAAAUACACAUCCCAACUCAAUUUUAUGCAUAUGACCCUUAAAUUUUCAUUAUUUACAUAUUUUCCCUAAACUUUUACAUUUAUAUUAAUUUAGUCCCUAAACCCGAAUUUACAAAUUUAAACUUAUUUGAACAUAACCCAUUCCAGCCGAAUAUUUAAGGACCUUAUACAGCCCUCUAUACACCAUAAUUUCACAAUAUUACCUUGAGAUUUUAACAUUUAAACAAUUUAGUCAUUUAAUAUGAAAAUCAACAAAAAUUAUUUUACAAAAUAAUCCUAUUAAACAACCAAGCUUAGUAAUCUAUCACAAUUUUUCACAAAUAACUCAAACUCAUCCAAGGCGCAUUUUUAAAAUAUUUAAUAAUUUCAAAAACGGAUGUACGGGUUAGCUGGAUCUAAUUGCAACGAUCUCAAAAUCAUAAAAAUUACUAAAAACGGACUAAAAUAACAUACCCAUGCAAGGAAAUAGAAGAACCGAAGCUCCAAGGUGUUGAAAAUGGUAUUCGAUUUGCCAAAUGAAGAAGAAAGAAGACGAUUGAAAC